rnacentral:rRNA from 1 species
CAGUAGCCGCGGUAAUACGGAGGAUCCAAGCGUUAUCCGGAAUCAUUGGGUUUAAAGGGUCCGUAGGCGGUCUUGUAAGUCAGUGGUGAAAGCCCAUCGCUCAACGGUGGAACGGCCAUUGAUACUGCAGGACUUGAAUUAUUGGGAAGUAACUAGAAUAUGUAGUGUAGCGGUGAAAUGCUUAGAGAUUACAUGGAAUACCAAUUGCGAAGGCAGGUUACUACCAAUUGAUUGACGCUGAUGGACGAAAGCGUGGGUAGCGAACAGGAUUAGAUACCCGCGUAGUCCCUGUCUCUUAUAU